CCCCACCCCUAGUUGGUAUCACGGGCUCCGGCCCGUGACCACACUAGGGGGACUGCCGGCGUAAGCCGGAGGAAGGAGGGGGCCACGGCAGGUCAGCAUGCCCCGAAACCCCCGGGUCGCACGCGGGUUACAAUGGCAGGGACAGCGGGAUGCUACCCCGAAAGGGGGAGCCAAUCCCCCAAACCCUGCCGCAGUUGGGAUCGAGGGCUGGAACCCGCCCUCGUGAACGAGGAAUCCCUAGUAACCGCGGGUCAACAACCCGCGGUGAAUACGUCCCUGCUCCUUGUACACACCGCCCGU
rnacentral:rRNA from 1 species